rnacentral:tRNA from 1 species
GUGGCUUCUGGCUUUCGCAAUUGGCUUCCCAAGCCGAGGGUCGCGAGUUCGAAUCUCGUCGUCCGCUCCA